GAUUUUGUUAUGUGUCCCCAAAACUGAAAAAAAGGCACACUUGUGCUCAUAUGUGUCUAUUGACCUACAUAUGUGUCCCCAAAACUGAUAAAAAGGCACACUUGUUCUCAUAUGUGCCUACUGAAAAUUUUAGGCACACAAUAAGUGUCCCCAUCCAAAAACAAAGCAGACCAAUUCAUACGAAUACGUCUUUUUUUUAUUUAGAAUGCCUGCGAAUACGUCCUCUCACUAAACUCAUAUCACAUACGCGCACUCUCUCUCUCUCUCUCUCUCUCUUUCUCUCAGAUCUGCUGCUACCCUCUCCAGCAAAGACUAACGGUAGUCUCAGCGGCGACCACCCAUGACUCCUCCUCCAGAUUCGUAUAACCACCGACAGUUGUUGCCCUCUCUCGCUCUGUCAAUAUCUUUUGAAACUAAAACACCCAUAUGGAGACUUGUCCCCAAAAGUGUCUCAAUUUGCCAUAUCUUUAUCGAACCACAGUCCCACUCUGUUCUUCUCAAAGCGUUUCGGUAGGGUAUUUGGUGCUGGGCAAUGGCAAUGUUUAAGAAUGAAAGACUGAUUCGGCGCCAUCGACCACAUCAGUUGCAAAACACGUGGUCAGAAUGCGUUUAAUUGCCCGGGUCAUUUUGGUUAAAUUGACAUCGUUUUGCUCGUCUAUAUUCCCUUGUUGUUCAGUGUUCUUUACAAACUUCUACAGAGAACCUGCUUCUUCUGUCACCAUUUUCGAACAAGCCAAGAGCUGGUAAGUGAAGCUUGGUAGAGUAAAAUUAGCGCUUUAUGGGCUUAGUUUGUUGCUUUAAGAAGUUUAUGCCUUUCUCGUUGACGUUCUAAUUUCUGUACUUUUUUUGGGUAGUUUAAAGUUGAAAAAUGUCCUUUGGCCUUACAUUUAAGUAAUGUCCUUUGGAACUCGUGAUGAAAGGUGAUGUUGCAUUGGUAAUAUCUUCUUGUUUCAGAUGGUUGCAUUGGUUUUAUCUUCUUGGUGAUGUUGCCUGACCAGAUUAUUCAACCAGAUAUUACCAAAUUGGAACACGUGAUGAAAGGUGAUGUUGUGGGGGAAUGAUAGAGAUUUUGCAAAUAUCUUGUUUCAGAUAGUUGCAUAAAAUAUCUUGUUUCAGAUAGUUGCAUGGUAAUAUCUGGUUGAAUCUAGUUAGGCAACAAACAUGUUCAGUGCUUAAUGCUUCUUUCGAUUCCACUUCUAUGAAUCAUUCUGUCACUUUAAAUAAGCAAAUAUUUUUGACUUUGAUUUGAAGGUUGUUUUAGACACCUAGAAGUCACUUACAAUUGUGCUACUAUCAUGCAACUUUUUUCUUGGCUCAUUAGCCUUUGCUUAUUUAGCACAGAUGGGGUGGGGAGAGGGUAGAGGCCAUAGGUUUACAUCUUCAUGUGAAAAAGAAGAAAGUAGUAUUUUAAAGAUUAAAAGAGAAGGAAAAAAAUCCAGCUUUUGUUCUUAAUGGCCCAUAGAUUACUUUGUUAAUAUUCCUCUUACCUUUCUAUCUCUGUUUUUUUCCUUCCUUUAUUUCUAGGCAUUUAGGAAACAUUCUCUAGGGUUUUCUUAUUUAGCACAGUGACAGACGCCUCAGGAUUAUGAUGUUCUUAGUAUAUGUAUUGUUUAUGUAUAUGUACCUGAUGUUCUUAGGUAGGAAGAUAUCUACUAUUUAUGUAUAUGUAUUGUAUUUAAUCUUUAAAACCCAUAGACUAGUCUAUAUAUAUCCUAUAUUUUCGUUUGCAUUGCUGGGUACUGGAUUUAUUAUUAGUUAUUCUUUUUUAUUGGUUGAUGGUUGUAGACUGGUGCCGGCAAUGCUAGAGAAAAUGUUAUCAGAAGAUGCAGGUAAUCUCAGCCUGGUGGAUUUGGGAGUGUUCACUGAUACCAAAUUCUUUCUCAAUUUCAUAUAUGUUCUCCUAAUGAUAUUAUUAUUACUCUCUUAAAUCUAGAACAUGCCUUUCAUGUCAACAAAAGACCUGAGCAUGAACUAAUCAUAACUUUGGCAUAUAUUAGAUCUCUGUUAUACAUAACUUAAUUUACUGUAAUGGUGAUGGUGUUGGCAAUUCAUGGGGCAGUAACUUAUGUUUUGAGGGAAUAAAGCAAGCCUUGGUACUUAGAAUUAAUUACUAAACUGUACAGAGACAUUGAUGAAUAAGCAUGACUUAGUUUUGUAAAGUUUUAGACCAUCAGUUUACCCUUCACUUCGAUCUUCUCUCCCUUCCCUGUUCUUUUCUUUGGGUUUGCUGCCAGAUUUCAUGAUUAGAUUGCAAACUUUAGAUUAUUGUUUAUGUAGAAUUUAUAAUGCUGAUACUGUGCUAGCUCUUCUACAGAAUUAUAUCAACUUGCCUCUUUCUAUUGCUUCAGGUCAUAAAAGAUGUCUCACUUUUAUCUAGGUGGAUAACUAUUGAUCUAUAUAUUCGACAAGUUGAUAGCAUGAAAUUUGAACUAUCCAUGAAUAGGUGCAGCGAUAGCUUGUCAAAACUGGAGCAAGUUGCUUGCCCAUUUUGUGGUGUUUCAGUCUAUGAUAGGUCACUGCUCAGGUGCUUUUGGGGGUUUGGAAGCUAAUGGUAGAGUGAAAUCCAUACAACCAGGAUGGCUCCAUCAUUCCCUAAACCAAUCUGCUUUGAUCAUAUAAUUCACAUACUUGUGCAGUUUGCUGGUCUGCUACAAUCUCUAUUCAGGAAGUAUGUGUAUAAAGGUAGUUGAUUUCAUAUUGGAGCGGGUCGGACUGUUGGACCAAGUGCUGCUGAAGUACUUAGCCUUUUCAUGUAUUAAUGAUCCACUGAAUUGUAGUUUCGUAGUUGGAUAUGGUAACUUAUUCUAUUGUAACAUUGAAAUACUUAUUCAUUAAUCGGAUUGCGAUUACUGUUUUUAUUCUUUGAUAUGGUUUCUACUG